rnacentral:rRNA from 1 species
AGUGAACGCUGGCGGUAGGCCUAACACAUGCAAGUCGAACGGCAGCACAGUAAGAGCUUGCUCUUACGGGUGGCGAGUGGCGGACGGGUGAGGAAUACAUCGGAAUCUACUUUUUCGUGGGGGAUAACGUAGGGAAACUUACGCUAAUACCGCAUACGACCUACGGGUGAAAGUAGGGGAUCUUCGGACCUUGCGCGAUUGAAUGAGCCGAUGUCGGAUUAGCUAGUUGGCGGGGUAAAGGCCCACCAAGGCGACGAUGCGUAGCUGGUCUGAGAGGAUGAUCAGCCACACUGGAACUGAGACACGGUCCAGACUCCUACGGGAGGCAGCAGUGGGGAAUAUUGGACAAUGGGCGCAAGCCUGAUCCAGCCAUACCGCGUGGGUGAAGAAGGCCUUCGGGUUGUAAAGCCCUUUUGUUGGGAAAGAAAAGCAGCAGGUUAAUACCCCGCUGUUCUGGCGGUACCCAAAGAAUAAGCACCGGCUAACUUCGUG